AUGAGGAAGGCAACGGGUGGGCUGGAUCUUGUGAGACCCGCAGCCACUCGCUUUGCCACAUCCAUUCUUGCUCUUAAGAGUUUGGUCAAGCACAAGCAAGCAUUGAGGAGUCUAUUUACAUGUCAAGCAUGGGUCGGAAACAAAUUGGCGAAAACUGCAGCCGUUUUGAAUGUGCAAGACAUUGUGCUUUCAGAAGAUUGGUGGCAUGCAAUUGAGGACUGCCUUAGAGCUUCAGGUCCACUACUUCGAGUGCUUAGGGUAGCGGAUGGUGAUGAGAUUCCUGCCAUGCCAGAAAUGACAGCAUUAAUGAGGUUUGCAAAGGAGAAGAUCAAUCAAGGUUUUCCCCACCAAAACAAGCAAGCUUUGCUCAAGAAGAUCGUUGACAUUGUUGACAAACGUUGGGAGAAUCAAAUGGAUCAUCCAUUAUAUGGGGCUUCUUUGUUUUUGAACCCUGGAAAAUACUUCUCUAUUGUUGACAGUGGUGAUAAUGCCCUAAUUGGUGAGCUAAGAAGUUGUUUUAAUGAUGUCCUUGCACGAACAGGACUUGAUGUCAAUACUCGCAACAAGAUUGAUGCACAAGCCGUUGACUAUGAGGACAAGAGAGGACCCUUUGCUAAUCAGAUGGCAAUCGAUAACAUGGUCGGAAAAAACCCUCUUGAUUGGUGGCGUUCAUAUGCUGGUCGGGCAGUUGAGCUACAAAGGUUUCAAAAGAGGCAUGAGAAGAUGGGUGGCAAUAACUAUGACCCUCUAGUCAUUGAGGAUUUUGAUUGGGGCAAUGAGUGGGUUGACCCAACAAUACCUCCACCCCAAGGUGCUCAAGGGUGUCCCGAUGACAUUUCAUGGGAGCUUGUUGAUGAGGCUGUUGGUGCAAGUUCGUCGCUGCAAGGUCGCAACUUUCCUAGAGCUAGCACCAUGGCAAGGGGGGCCUCAAAUGUUAAUGUCCAGUACCAAAGGCAGCGCAAAAGGGCUGCUCCGUCACCAACAUUUGUUCAUGAAGAUGACGAAGAGGAUGACCAAGAACAACAAUCAAGUAUCCCCAAUGGAGAGGAUGAUGAUUCAGACUUUCUUCAAGAUGAUGUUGAUGUGACCGAUGAUGAUGAAGAUCCAACUAGUGCUGACCAAGAUGGCGAAGACAACACAAAUGCUAUCAUGGAUGAGUUCGAUGAUGGCUAUUGA
rnacentral:rRNA from 1 species